CUAUAGAGAGCCUUUCUUACUGCUGCACUGACUGCCUUGAUUUUCAUCAUGUCAUACUGUGACCAUGCAAAGCAGGCAAAGGCGGGGGAAGUAGAACAGAAAGAACCACAUCAAAUAAUGAGGAAAAGGCCUGAGGUGCGGAGGAGGUGCCUGGGAAAGCAAUUCGCCGCUGCAGUGCACAUCCGGAUGGAGGCUGCUCCAGAUGGCUUCUCAAGUUCAGCCCCAAGGCCUGGCGAGUGACCACUGCCACAGAUCUCCAUUCAUGUGUCUCAGUAGCCCCUUUUUUCCUACCUACCACAAAGUGCUCUCAGUGAGCCCUAGGGUGUCUGGCUGGGAGCAUAUGAAGAUGGAGUUCUCAGAAAAGAGCAAGAGGAAAGAUCAACCUCAGCAGGUGCAGUGAACUACUAUGGACUACAUAUUAUGCUAAGUGUUGGGGAAGAUGAGGAAGAUAAAUAUCUGAUCUUAGGAUCUGAAGUAUAGAAAAAGAGGCAGUUAUAUAAGAGAAAAUUAAUCACAGUAGACAAUGAGACAUUACUGCAUAAUUUCAUUUAUAUGCCAUUUUGGGAAAAGACAAACUAGAGAUGAAAAAUGGGGUGAUUGGCAGGAAUUGGGGGCAGGGAUUGUGAAGGCUUUGGGAGAUAAUGAAAUGUACGCUAAAAAGAGUGAAUUUUACUGAAUGUAUUACAACUCAAUAUUUAUAACGGAAAAUAAAUCACAAUAGAACAUGUUAGGUGUUGUAAUGGUGUGAUGCACAAAAAUACACAAAGGAAGAAGCAGCUGGGUCUUCUUAAGAGUAGGAGAAGGGGAUCAGGAGAAGGGAACACUGGGCUUGUGGUUCUGCAGAUGACAGGAAGGAGAGGACAUUCCAAGCCGAGAGACCGGCAUACACAAAGGUACACAGUUCUAAAAGUCUGUAUUCAGUCAACUGCCCUUCACUUGCUACAGCUGGUGCAGUCACAGGAG
rnacentral:lncRNA from 1 species